rnacentral:rRNA from 1 species
AGUGAACGCUGGCGGUAGACCUGACACAUGCAAGUCGAACGGCAGCACAGUAAGAGCUUGCUCUUACGGGUGGCGAGUGGCGGACGGGUGAGGAAUACAUCGGAAUCUACUUUUUCGUGGGGGAUAACGUAGGGAAACUUACGCUAAUACCGCAUACGACCUACGGGUGAAAGCAGGGGAUCUUCGGACCUUGCGCGAUUGAAUGAGCCGAUGUCGGAUUAGCUAGUUGGCGGGGUAAAGGCCCACCAAGGCGACGAUCCGUAGCUGGUCUGAGAGGAUGAUCAGCCACACUGGAACUGAGACACGGUCCAGACUCCUACGGGAGGCAGCAGUGGGGAAUAUUGGACAAUGGGCGCAAGCCUGAUCCAGCCAUACCGCGUGGGUGAAGAAGGCCUUCGGGUUGUAAAGCCCUUUUGUUGGGAAAGAAAAGCAGCAGGUUAAUACCCCGCUGUUCUGACGGUACCCAAAGAAUAAGCACCGGCUAACUUCGUG